AUUGAACGCUGGCGGCAUGCCUUACACAUGCAAGUCGAACGGUAACAGGCCGCAAGGUGCUGACGAGUGGCGAACGGGUGAGUAAUGCAUCGGAACGUGCCCAGUCGUGGGGGAUAACGCAGCGAAAGCUGUGCUAAUACCGCAUACGAUCUAUGGAUGAAAGCGGGGGACCGUAAGGCCUCGCGCGAUUGGAGCGGCCGAUGUCAGAUUAGGUAGUUGGUGGGGUAAAGGCCUACCAAGCCAACGAUCUGUAGCUGGUCUGAGAGGACGACCAGCCACACUGGGACUGAGACACGGCCCAGACUCCUACGGGAGGCAGCAGUGGGGAAUUUUGGACAAUGGGCGCAAGCCUGAUCCAGCAAUGCCGCGUGCAGGAAGAAGGCCUUCGGGUUGUAAACUGCUUUUGUACGGAACGAAACGGUCUGGGUUAAUACCCUGGGCUAAUGACGGUACCGUAAGAAUAAGCACCGGCUAACUACGUGCCAGCCGCCGCAGUAAAAC
rnacentral:rRNA from 1 species